rnacentral:misc_RNA from 1 species
UACAGAGGCCUCAAGCGUUACCCGGAAUUACUGGGCGUAAAGGGUGUGUAGACGGUUUUAUUAGUCUUUUGUCAAAGCCUUCCGGCUUAACCGGAAGAUCGCAAAGGAAACGGUAAAACUGGAGGGUGGGAGAGGCGUGCGGAACUCUAGGUGUAGGGGUGAAAUCCGUCGAUAUCUAGGGGAACACCAAAUGCGAAGGCAGCACGCUGGCCCAUUCCUGACGCUGAGACACGAAAGCGUGGGUAGCGAACGGG